rnacentral:rRNA from 1 species
GAAACAGUUGCUAAGACUGGAUAGGAAAUAAAAAGGCAUCUUUUUAUUUUUAAAAGACCUUUUUCGGAAGGUAUGCUUAAAGAGGGGCUUGCGUCACAUUAGUUAGUUGGCAGGGUAAAGGCCUACCAAGACUAUGAUGUGUAGCUGGACUGAGAGGUUGAACAGCCACAUUGGGACUGAGACACGGCCCAAACUCCUACGGGAGGCAGCAGUAGGGAAUUUUCGGCAAUGGAGGAAACUCUGACCGAGCAACGCCGCGUGAACGAUGAAGUAUUUCGGUAUGUAAAGUUCUUUUAUUGAAGAAGAAAAAAUAGUGGAAAAACUAUCUUGACGAUAUUCAAUGAAUAAGCCCCGGCAAACUAUGUGCCAGCAGCCGCGGUAAUACAUAGGGGGCGAGCGUUAUCCGGAAUUAUUGGGCGUAAAGGGUGCGUAGGCGGUUUAAUAAGUCUAUAGUUUAAUUUCAGUGCUUAACACUGUCCUGCUAUAGAAACUAUUAGACUAGAGUGAGAUAGAGGCAAGUGGAAUUCCAUGUGUAGCGGUAAAAUGCGUAAAUAUAUGGAGGAACACCAGAGGCGUAGGCGGCUUGCUGGGUCUUUACUGACGCUGAGGCACGAAAGCGUGGGGAGCAAACAGGUAUUAGAUACCCUGGUAGUCCACGCCGUAAACGAUGAGUACUAAGUGUCGGGAUUACUCGGUACUGAAGUUAACACAUUAAGUACUCCGCCUGAGUAGUACGUACGCAAGUAUGAAACUUAAAGGAAUUGACGGGACUCCGCACAAGCGGUGGAUCAUGUUGUUUAAUUCGAAGAUACACGAAAAACCUUACCAGGUCUUGACAUACUCUGCAAAGCUAUAGCAAUAUAGUGGAGGUUAUCAGGGAUACAGGUGGUGCAUGGUUGUCGUCAGCUCGUGUCGUGAGAUGUUAGGUUAAGUCCUAAAACGAGCGCAACCCUUGUCAUUAGUUGCCAGCAUGUCAUGAUGGGCACUUUAAUGAGACUGCCAAUGAAAAAUUGGAGGAAGGUGAGGAUCACGUCAAAUCAUCAUGCCCCUUAUGAUCUGGGCUACAAACGUGAUACAAUGGCUGUUACAAAGAGUAGCUGAAACGCAAGUUUAUAGCCAAUCUCAUAAAAGCAGUCUCAGUUCGGAUUGAAGUCUGCAACUCGACUUCAUGAAGUUGGAAUCGCUAGUAAUCGCGAAUCAGCAUGUCGCGGUGAAUACGUUCUCGGGGUUUGUACACACCGCCCGUCA